AGUGAACGCUGGCGGUAGGCCUAACACAUGCAAGUCGAACGGCAGCACAGUAAGAGCUUGCUCUUACGGGUGGCGAGUGGCGGACGGGUGAGGAAUACAUCGGAAUCUACUUUUUCGUGGGGGAUAACGUAGGGAAACUUACGCUAAUACCGCAUACGACCUACGGGUGAAAGCAGGGGAUCUUCGGACCUUGCGCGAUUGAAUGAGCCGAUGUCGGAUUAGCUAGUUGGCGGGGUAAAGGCCCACCAAGGCAACGAUCCGUAGCUGGUCUGAGAGGAUGAUCAGCCACACUGGAACUGAGACACGGUCCAGACUCCUACGGGAGGCAGCAGUGGGGAAUAUUGGACAAUGGGCGCAAGCCUGAUCCAGCCAUGCCGCGUGGGUGAAGAAGGCCUUCGGGUUGUAAAGCCCUUUUGUUGGGAAAGAAAAGCAGCAGGUUAAUACCCCGCUGUUCUGACGGUACCCAAAGAAUAAGCACCGGCUAACUUCGUG
rnacentral:rRNA from 1 species